rnacentral:lncRNA from 1 species
CGCCAUUGUGGUCCCCGCAGCGGUUUCAGGAGAGAUAUUGAUGGAAGUGCCACAUCUAACGAUUCCUCCUCCAUCCUGUAUUGAUGGUGCUGUAGAAAGGCCAGCUUGCUGGAGAUGAAAGGCAGCACUGAGCAGUGCAGGAAGCUCCCCGGCCGUGGCUGUUGUGCAUGUUGGAGGAGAUGCAUCACUGAAGGAUUAAAAUACAACUGCUGUGAGCUGGGAAGCAAAGCAGGCCAGGACUAGAAGCUGCCGUGGAAGGAGAGGCACAUGAUGAAGUCUCCAGAGCUGCCUGCUGAUGGGACCCACGGCCAGCAUCCUGCACCCUGCUCUGGGCACCCAGGGACCCCCAGCACUGCCCGAGUCCACCAGGAGACAGCCCAGAAACCUCAGGUG